CGAGCGGUAGAGAGAAGCUUGCUUCUCUUGAGAGCGGCGGACGGGUGAGUAAUGCCUAGGAAUCUGCCUGGUAGUGGGGGAUAACGUUCGGAAACGGACGCUAAUACCGCAUACGUCCUACGGGAGAAAGCAGGGGACCUUCGGGCCUUGCGCUAUCAGAUGAGCCUAGGUCGGAUUAGCUAGUUGGUGAGGUAAUGGCUCACCAAGGCGACGAUCCGUAACUGGUCUGAGAGGAUGAUCAGUCACACUGGAACUGAGACACGGUCCAGACUCCUACGGGAGGCAGCAGUGGGGAAUAUUGGACAAUGGGCGAAAGCCUGAUCCAGCCAUGCCGCGUGUGUGAAGAAGGUCUUCGGAUUGUAAAGCACUUUAAGUUGGGAGGAAGGGUUGUAGAUUAAUACUCUGCAAUUUUGACGUUACCGACAGAAUAAGCACCGGCUAACUCUGUGCCAGCAGCCGCGGUAAUACAGAGGGUGCAAGCGUUAAUCGGAAUUACUGGGCGUAAAGCGCGCGUAGGUGGUUUGUUAAGUUGGAUGUGAAAUCCCCGGGCUCAACCUGGGAACUGCAUUCAAAACUGACUGACUAGAGUAUGGUAGAGGGUGGUGGAAUUUCCUGUGUAGCGGUGAAAUGCGUAGAUAUAGGAAGGAACACCAGUGGCGAAGGCGACCACCUGGACUAAUACUGACACUGAGGUGCGACAGCG
rnacentral:rRNA from 1 species